rnacentral:lncRNA from 1 species
UGCGCGCGCGAGUAUUAGCAUGACAAUGCUACGCACGAGAACGCAUGUGUGGCCACGUUGGCGGGUUUGUUUAAAUGUGACUUCACAGGAGGUGAGUUUAAAGCUAGAGCACAAGCCGCUUAUGAGUCGUUGCUGACAGGACGACCAGCUUCUUGGCAUUUCUUGAUGAUGGCCACUGUUGUUAAGACUGUGGUCUCCUGUAUUGGCCUUUAGUUGGACCGAGAGAGAAUACUAUUUCCUUGGCAUCAGAGGCUCCUUUGGUACAAACUGUGCAUCACUGGUUCAUGAACGACUAGGACAUGCAAGACGUGCAGCCCCAUCACUACCAACAAAAUGAAUACUCCCAACCAACAGGGCUCUUUUCAACCAAUUAAGUUGUGCUUCUACUCAAGGCA